rnacentral:rRNA from 1 species
UACGUAGGGUGCAAGCGUUAAUCGGAAUUACUGGGCGUAAAGCGUGCGCAGGCGGUGAUGUAAGACAGGUGUGAAAUCCCCGGGCUUAACCUGGGAACUGCAUUUGUGACUGCAUCGCUGGAGUGCGGCAGAGGGGGAUGGAAUUCCGCGUGUAGCAGUGAAAUGCGUAGAUAUCUGGAGGAACACCGGUGGCGAAGGCGGCAUCCUGGACCAACACUGACACUGAGGAGCGAAAGCCAGGGGAGCAAACGGG